rnacentral:lncRNA from 1 species
AAUAUUUCAAUAUAUUUGAAGAAAAAAAGGAAACUUAAAAUGUAAGACAGCAAGAGUAUAUAAAAUGAUCGAGCAAACUUGAAAAGGAACCAAACGGAACUUCCAGAAAUGAAAAAUAAAACAUCUGACAAGUAAAACUCAAUGAAUGCGUUGACACAACCUCUAAAACACACCCCUAAAAAAAAAAAAAAANAAAAAAAAAAAAAAAAAAAAAAAAAAAACAAAGCCCUUCAAUAGAUUGGUUUAGCAGCUGAAAAAAGACUUAACCGGAAGAUAUAUAUGUGUAGAAAUUAUCCAGAAUGCCAGAAGCAGAAAACAAGAGCUACAAAGAGACAAGGAGGAUGGAGUAGGAAGGUCUAGUAGAGUUCCAGCAGAGAGAGAAGACAUCUGAGGACCAAUUACCACAUUUAGAAUGGAGGGACAAUGAGGCCCCACUGUACGGUACAGGGAACUAUAUCCAAUCUCCUUGGACAGACCAUGGUGGAAAGCAAUACAUAUUUUUUUGAAGAAAAAUGUAUAUCUAUGUAUGACUGAGUCACUUUGUAUGGCAGAAAUUGGUGCCACAUUAUAAAUCAAUUAUAAUUUAAGAAAAAACAUAAAAAACAAAUGAAGAUAUGACAGAAUUUUCUAGAACUGAUGAAAAACAUCAAUUCAUUGACUCAGGAUACCUAAGGAAUCCCAUUAAGGUAAAUGCAAAGAAAACCACACUUGACAUAGCACAGUAAAACUGCAGAAUACUAAAAAAAACCCCACAAAAUCUUAAAAGCAGUUGGAGACAAAAAGUACCUUUAGGAGUUCCCUUGUGGCUCAGUGGGUUAAGGAUCUGGCAUUGUCACUGCUAUGGCAUGGGUUCGAUCUCUGGCCCGGGAACUUUGCAUGCCAUGGGUGUGGCCAAAAAAAUUAUCUUCAAAGGAACAGUAACAACAAAAACAGCAAAAUAGAAAACAGUUGACUUACAGCAACAGUGGAGACUAAAAGAAUCACAUUUUCAAUAUAUUGACAGGAAAUAACUAUUAGCCUAGAAUUCUGCACCCAGGAAAAAAUAAAUGAAAAGGUAAAAAAACUAGAAAAGAUAGGACAAUAGCACAAAAUAAAGGAGUAGAAAUAUAUCCAAGAACAUUAAUUACAAUAGAUACAAAUGACUAAAUAACUUCCAUUAGAAGACAAACUGUUACCUACAUUUUAAAAAUCCACCUACAGCCCAUUCUUAAAAGGCAGAAAGUGAAAUAAAAGGAUAAAAAUAAAAGUUUAAUACAUUUGGGAGUUCCCUUCAUGGCUCAGUGGUUAACGAACCCGACUAGGAUCCGUGAGAAUGAUGGUUCAAUCCCUGGCCUCGCUCAGUGGGUUAAGGAUCCAACAUUGCUGUGAGCUGUGGUGUAGGUGGCAGAUGUGGCUCAGAUCUGGCAUUGCUGUGGCUGUGAUGUAGCCCAGCAGCUGCAGCUCUGUUUUGACCCCUAGCCUGGGAACCUCCAUAUGCUACAGGCACAGCCCUAAAAAGCAAAAAAAAAAAAAAAAAAAAAAAAGUCGGAAACAAGUCAAAGAUGCCCACCCUUUGCCUUCACUCAGACAGAAGGGCAAGAAAAAUAAGAGGGAUGAAAAAAAGAACAAAAUUAUCUUUUCAUAGAUAUGAUUAUAAAUAUAGAAAAGUCAGAAUUUACAAGUAA